rnacentral:rRNA from 1 species
UGGGGAAUAUUGCACAAUGGGGGAAACCCUGAUGCAGCGACGCCGCGUGAGCGAAGAAGGUUUUCGAAUCGUAAAGCUCUGUCCUAUGAGAAGAUAAUGACGGUAUCAUAGGAGGAAGCCCCGGCUAAAUACGUGCCAGCAGCCGCGGUAAUACGUAUGGGGCGAGCGUUGUCCGGAAUUAUUGGGCGUAAAGGGUACGUAGGCGGUCUAAUAAGUCAGGUGUGAAAGCGUGAGGCUUAACCUCAUUAAGCACUUGAAACUGAUAGACUUGAGUGAAGGAGAGGAAAGUGGAAUUUCUAGUGUAGCGGUGAAAUGCGUAGAUAUUAGGAGGAAUACCGGUGGCGAAGGCGACUUUCUGGACUUUUACUGACGCUCAGGUACGAAAGCGUGGGGAGCAAACAGG